rnacentral:rRNA from 1 species
UAACUUAGUGGCGAACGGGUGAGUAACGCGUGAGUAACCUGCCCUGGAGUGGGGGACAACAGUUGGAAACGACUGCUAAUACCGCAUAAGCCCACGGCCCGGCAUCGGGCUGAGGGAAAAGGAUUUAUUCGCUUCAGGAUGGACUCGCGUCCAAUUAGCUAGUUGGUGAGGUAACGGCCCACCAAGGCGACGAUUGGUAGCCGGACUGAGAGGUUGAACGGCCACAUUGGGACUGAGACACGGCCCAGACUCCUACGGGAGGCAGCAGUGGGGGAUAUUGCACAAUGGGGGAAACCCUGAUGCAGCGACGCCGCGUGGAGGAAGAAGGUUUUCGGAUUGUAAACUCCUGUCGUUAGGGACGAUAAUGACGGUACCUAACAAGAAAGCACCGGCUAACUACGUGCCAGCAGCCGCGGUAAAACGUAGGGUGCAAGCGUUGUCCGGAAUUACUGGGUGUAAAGGGAGCGCAGGCGGACCGGCAAGUUGGAAGUGAAAUCCAUGGGCUCAACCCGUGAAUUGCUUUCAAAACUGCUGGCCUUGAGUAGUGCAGAGGUAGGUGGAAUUCCCGGUGUAGCGGUGGAAUGCGUAGAUAUCGGGAGGAACACCAGUGGCGAAGGCGACCUACUGGGCACCAACUGACGCUGAGGCUGGAAAGCAUGGGUAGCAAACAGGAUUAGAUACCCUGGUAGUCCAUGCCGUAAACGAUGAUUACUAGGUGUUGGAGGAUUGACCCCUUCAGUGCCGCAGUUAACACAAUAAGUAAUCCACGUGGGGAGUACGACCGCAAGGUUGAAACUCAAAGGAAUUGACGGGGGCCCGCACAAGCAGUGGAGUAUGUGGUUUAAUUCGAAGCAACGCGAAGAACCUUACCAGGUCUUGACAUCCGAUGCAUAGUACAGAGAUGUAUGUAAGUCCUUCGGGACAUCGAGACAGGUGGUGCAUGGUUGUCGUCAGCUUGUGUCGUGAGAUGUUGGGUUAAGUCCCGCAACGAGCGCAACCCUUAUUGCCAGUUUCUACGCAAGAGGACUCUGGCGAGACUGCCGUUGACAAAACGGAGGAAGGUGGGGAUGACGUCAAAUCAUCAUGCCCCUUAUGACCUGGGCUACACACGUACUACAAUGGCGUUUAACAAAGAGAAGCAAUACCGCGAGGUGGAGCAAAACUCAAAAACAACGUCUCAGUUCAGAUUGCAGGCUGCAACUCGCCUGCAUGAAGUCGGAAUUGCUAGUAAUCGCGGAUCAGCAUGCCGCGGUGAAUACGUUCCCGGGCCUUGCACUCACCGCCCGUCA